GGUUGUAUGGAGUAGUUGGUUAACUUAGGAGAUUCUGAUUGUUCGAGUUUUCAAAGCUCAUCAAUACGAUUCGACUUCUCUUGCCCUGGGUUCGAAUCCCAGUACGACCU